GACGAACGCUGGCGGCGUGCCUAAUACAUGCAAGUCGAACGAGAGCGACCGGUGCUUGCACUGGUCAAUCUAGUGGCGAACGGGUGAGUAACACGUGGGUAACCUGCCCAUCAGAGGGGGAUAACAUCCGGAAACGGAUGCUAAAACCGCAUAGGUCUUCGAGCCGCAUGGCUUGAAGAGGAAAAGAGGCGCAAGCUUCUGCUGAUGGAUGGACCCGCGGUGCAUUAGCUAGUUGGUGAGGUAACGGCUCACCAAGGCCGUGAUGCAUAGCCGACCUGAGAGGGUGAUCGGCCACAUUGGGACUGGGACACGGCCCAAACUCCUACGGGAGGCAGCAGUAGGGAAUCUUCCGCAAUGGACGCAAGUCUGACGGAGCAACGCCGCGUGAGUGAAGAAGGUUUCCGGAUCGUAAAACUCUGUUGUUAGAGAAGAACAAGUGCUAGAGUAACUGUUAGCGCCUUGACGGUAUCUAACCAGAAAGCCACGGCUAACUACGUG
rnacentral:rRNA from 1 species